GUGCUUGCUUUGGCAGCACAUAAACUAAAAUUGGAACAAUACAGAGAAGAUUAGCAUGGCUGCUUAAAAAAUAUAUUACAAAAUAAUUUUUU
rfam:Gorilla gorilla gorilla genomic chromosome, chr12, whole genome shotgun sequence